UUGAAUAGGUCUAGGUGCUAAAUGUUCUUUACAUGAUUCUGGAGUGAAGAGGGCCACAUUUUGAAGAUAACAUUUCAAAAGGGACAACGAAUUUUCAGAUUAAUCAAAAUGGAUAAAGUGUAUGACUCUUAGUGACUAAACAAAUUUUAUUGACGCCUCACCCUAAACGACCAUUUAUUAAUUCGUCAGGCUAAUCCCCA
rnacentral:lncRNA from 1 species